GGAAAGGGAGAAUCGUCGAUUCUCAUAGCUCGAUUCGCGGUAAACGCACAGUUGAUGUAAACAAGGGCUGGUAUAUACGUCCUACGUAGCUAUUUACGAUCCUGUUGACGCCUAAACACAUGAAAUAAUAUCGCGUGGUGCCAGUCAGCGACUGCUCCCCGUAUAAGAAUUAUCGUGGCGUUCGCAAAUAGACGCGUGUUACGUAUAAAUGCCAUGGCGGAGCAAGUUAGAAUAAAUUCGCUCGUGCGAAGUAAAUCAAAGAGAGUAUGGAUAAUAAACGAAAAGAUGAAAAGGGCUCGUUUCACGGAGUGCCUUCCGGACAAGAUGAAUUCGUUUCGGAGAGUACAGUGGACGCGAACAGAACUUAGUAUCGAGUUAGCGAAACGACGCAGGAUUAUAAUGCGAAUCUAAUGCGAAUGAUUCCAAGAUGUUCUCCUGGAUGCACGUGGAAGCAAGAGAAGAGACACGCAGGGAAUGGCGGUUGGCGAAACAUCCGAGUGUUUAUCACGCGACUGAAUGAUUACAACGAUGGAAGCGUCACGUUCGAAGAUUAGCAUUACGUGCGCCCUAACGAGGGAAGCUGAUUCAAGCCGGAAGAAUUCUACGUUGACUUUUAGUAUUAUAGAGUUGUUCUACUUUGCGAAUUUGAUUUAUAGAGAGACUAAAGCAAGAAUGGAGAAAAAGCGGUAAGAAAAAUGACACGGUCUCCGGUAUUUCACGCAUGUAGUUAUCUGCUACGACAUUUAAUCCCGGAUGUUUUCACGGAAUUUAUACAACAAAAAUAAAGUCGGAUUCUUUCGAAACGAAUCACGUGCAACGAUCUGCUGAUCGUUGAAUAUUUGACUUAUGUAGCACGUAGGUAGAAAUCUUUAGAAAUAUACUGGCAGCGAGCCUGUGACAUUUUUAAACAAUGUUCUAAGCUAUAACAACGAUGCUAAAUGAGGGAACCGAGUCAAGGAAAAGAUAUGUAAAGAUUACAUCAAGAAAAUUAUAUCGUUUACAGAUAUUUAAACAGGACGAUAAAAAUCUAGUCAGAACGAACAGAUCGUUAAAAUGCGAUCGUUUACCACUCUGUAUCCCACCAUUACUAGAAAAUUGAGAUAGAAACUUUCCAAAAUCAGAUACGAAAGAUCUCCUAUCAUUCUUAAACAACGUACCACGUUACUAAAUACAUUGCAAUGCUGCUAGUAACUGAAAAAUAAAUAAAGAACGAUUGGUGAAUCGAAAUCUCACAAGAUCAAUCAAAUUGGAGCAACCCAUCCCCGUAUUUACAAACCUAUAUCAAUGACACCAACCCUAUUCUAUCUCACCCUUCAAUUCAACCAUCCGGCGAUUGAAAUCAGAGAGCCAACGAGCGCAUCGAACGCGUCGUUGAUCGCGUAGCCACGUGAAAUUUGCCCCUCGUAAAUUUCAACCUGUUUCACAUCGUACAGAAUUUACUAUAACAUCGAUCCGUCUGCCUGGUUCGUGUUCUCCGGCGUUUGUGCUCCUAGGAUGACUAAAACCCAAUGAACGCGAGCAGUCCGAUAAGAAACGUCGACGUGACGUUCCCGGUAACUGUUCCAAUUUGGGCCCGAGCGAGACAGUAAGAA